UGGGGAAUCUUGCGCAAUGCGCGAAAGCGUGACGCAGCAACGCCGCGUGGGGGAAGACGGCCUUCGGGUUGUAAACCCCUUUCAGGAGGGACGAAGGUUCGCCGGUGAAUAGCCGUGCGGAUUGACGGUACCUCCACAAGAAGCUCCGGCUAACUACGUGCCAGCAGCCGCGGUAAUACGUAGGGAGCAAGCGUUGUCCGGAAUCAUUGGGCGUAAAGCGCGCGUAGGUGGCCUCAUAAGUCCGCUGUGAAAGUCAAAGGCUCAACCUUUGAAAGCCGGUGGAUACUGUGAGGCUAGAGUACGGAAGAGGCGAGUGGAAUUCCCGGUGUAGCGGUGGAAUGCGCAGAUAUCAGGAGGAACACCAAUAGCGAAGGCAGCUCGCUGGGACGUUACUGACACUGAGGCGCGAAAGCGUGGGGAGCGAACAGGAUUAGAUACCCUGGUAGUCCACGCCGUAAACGAUGGGUACUAGGUGUGGGAGGUGUCGACUCCU
rnacentral:rRNA from 1 species